rnacentral:rRNA from 1 species
AUACGAAGGGUGCGAGCGUUAAUCGGAAUUACUGGGCGUAAAGCGUGCGUAGGCGGUUUGCUAAGUCAGAUGUGAAAGCCCCGGGCUUAACCUGGGAACUGCAUUUGAUACUGGCAGACUAGAGUAUGAUAGAGGGGGGUAGAAUUCCUGGUGUAGCGGUGAAAUGCGUAGAUAUCAGGAGGAAUACCAGUGGCGAAGGCGGCCCCCUGGAUCAAUACUGACGCUGAGGUACGAAAGCGUGGGUAGCAAACAGGAUUAGAAACCCCAGUAGUCC